UUGAGUCCCUCAGACAGCCAGCGCCCACGCCCCUGGACCUGCAGUGCUUCCACCCUGAUGAGCUGAGAGUAAACUCCCCCAGCCCCUCUCCCUCUCUAACCGAUGAGCUGAGAGCAGCAAACUCCCCAAGCUCCUCUCUCUAUCUGACCCAAAAUGUCCUCAUUCAGACUGCUGCCAGCACAGAGGAUUUGCUGGAGGCUCCAGAGUGCGUUCCUUUAUCCGACCAUCAUAAAGCCAUCAAUCAAGAUAAGGGGCUCUCCCUCUCCUUCCAGAGCGCAAUGGAUACCCUGAUGGACAUGAGGCAAGCCUACCAAGAUCUGGGGAAGGGUAGCAGUCAAGGUUCAUCUCUACCCAGUCUGUGGUUCAGAGCCAGACACUUACACAAACUGGAUCCUACACCAGGGCUAUUGAAGACCACAGGAAGCUCAUCCUGCCUGCCUGUUCCCCCCAGGCUCAGAUGUGAGGCUGUGGCCCCCAGCCCGGUGGCCCCUCACCCAGCCCAGCUGAGCCAAUCUGCCCCCGGUCUAUUGGAGCCUCUCCUGGACUCUCUGGUCCAGGCCCGAGUUCACAUCCAGAACAGGCUUGGAUGUGGUGAAACGGAGAAAAAAAGCAGUGGUCGAAAGGGCUCCUUCCCUACCCUACUUCCAGGCCCCAUCAGGACCCCCAAGCUGUUAGCCCCUCUGGAGGGGAGGAAUAGAAACGGAGGAGUGCUGCCCGGCCUGAAGCACCCUUCUCCCCUAAAGCCCAUCAGCCUUGUGCCCCUGAUGCCCCUGACCUCCAUGUCCUCCAUAACCUCCAGGCUGAGGAGGGAGAGGCUGGCCAGGACCAGGGUGAGCCCCAGAGGGUCCCCAGGCACCAGAGGGGGCAGCGAGGAGAGCAGCUUCAGUAGCCAAUCCUCCAUCGACUUGGAGGUAGAGGUGGAUGACAAUAAGAGAGACUUAAGAGACCUAAGAGAGACUACAGCAAAACAACACACUGGAGAGACUUUUGAGGGAAGGUUGCAGUUGGAUCUAGACUCAUCUGGAAAGUUUAAUGUUGGAGAUUACAGUCAGGAUAAUGCAGACCAUAGGAAUAGGGAGUCGACAAGACAUCAGGGUGCCUUUCCUAGGGAUAACAAGGAAGGAGUAUCUAUCAAAUCUGACCCUGGAGGGAGAGGGUACAAAGCAAUAAUUGAGUUGAGUCACCAACUUAACUCCGAUUUGACAAAUUUCAAAGAUGUUAACAGCACUUCAUGCUUUGAGAGGGACUGUGAGGAUGAUGUUGUGGCAGUGGAAUGGACGAAGGUGAUGUGCUCAGGGGGUCUCUCAAAAGAGACUACAAGUACUGAGCCAACUACCACAUGUCCCUUUGCAUCUAAAAGAAAUGGAAACAAAGAGAUUCAAGUUGAUGACAAUGCAAAGACUAGUGUUGUGGAUGACACCAAGUAUCAAUGUCUUCCUUCUACUGUGAAUGUCACACUACCUGAAUUAAACCCUCCUACAGAGAAAAAGAUCAAACCUAUCAAGCCUGCCAAGAACAAAGAGAGUAGAGGCAGCACUAGCAUCCAAACCAAUCAGUCUUUCAACAUCUUGGCACACAAAGAUCACAUUCGGGGGAACAGCAAGUCCAAAAGCAACCUGAGGACUUCACCCAUUCCUUCACAAGUCAAAGGC
ensembl:lncRNA